UGUCGAUAACCACUCGCAUUAAUCCGUAAACAUAAAGGCCGCGUUAGCGGCCUUUUUUUUGUCCUCA
rnacentral:sRNA from 1 species